rnacentral:misc_RNA from 1 species
GAUGAAGAACGCAGUGAAAUGCGAAAAGUAAUGUGAAUUGCAGAAUUCAGUGAACCAUCGAAUCUUUGAACGCACAUUGCGCCCGCCAGUAUUCUGGCGGGCAUGCCUGUCCGAGCGUCAUUUCAACCAUCAAGCCCCGGGCUUGUGUUGGGGACCUGCGUCCGACGCAGGCCCUGAAAACCAGUGGCGGGCUCGCUGUCCACACCGAGCGUAGUAACUAACCUCGCUAUGGAGUGGCGCGGGCGCCUGCCGUAAAACCCCCAAUUUCACAAGGUUGACCUCGGAUCAGGUAGGAAUACCCGCUGAACUUAAGCAUAUCAAUAAGCGGAGGA